rnacentral:lncRNA from 1 species
AGUUACUCUUGACUUCCUCUUAAACUCAUUAAAAUGUGGAGAGUAAGGAUCACGCUUAGGCAAUCUGUCCUUUGGCCUGCUGGUUUGUUAGGGAACUUCUCUGAGGCUGUCUGCUCUGUACAGAAGCUGAAAUACCGGCCAAGGGCUUUGCUCGAGCUGCCAGGCACAGAUUGGUUGAGCAACCACAGCUGCCAAACAAUGACAUUAAGUCAGCUGGAAUUGCUGCUCAAGGAGAAAAGUAUGCUGACCAGGGUAAUAACAGAUACCACAUGCAGGGGUAGUAAUUAAUUUCAGGUAAGUAGAUGGUGUUCUUGA